rnacentral:lncRNA from 10 species
CCCCUUGGUGCUGUUCUCAUGAUAAGAAUUCUCGUGAGAUCUGGUUGUUUAAAAAUGUGUGUCACUUCCCUCUCUCUCUUCCUCCUGCUCCCACCAUGUGAGACGCCUCACUCACCCUUUGCCUUCUGCCAUGACUGGAAGCUUUUCUGAGCGCUGCCCCCUACAAAACAGAAGCUGCCAUGCUUCCUGCACAGCCCACAGAACUGUUGAAUUAUUAGCCACAAUUCUCCCCCCUCUGAGGUAGGAGGAUGCAUCCACAACCUUGCCUUGGCGUCAUGGAAGCAGAGUACACUUCCCCAAUUCAAUAAACUUGUCUUAUCCAGUGGAAUAAGAGACAUGGGCUCACUCUGUCACCCAGGCUGGAGUACAGCGGUGGAAUCACAACACACUGCAACAUCAAACUCCUGGUCUCAAGCAAUCUGCCCACCUCAGCCUCCCAAAUCUCCAGGAUUACAGCUACUGGAGAUAUCUAAGUUUUCAUAAGAGAUCAUCAGAAGAAAAUGAAGAUCCAGGCUCUCUUUCAGCUGAGAAAACGCAUCCACAAAAUUCCAAAGAAUACCUGGAAGAGGAAAAGAGACACAAAGACAGAUACACAAGGAGACCAUGAUGAGGCAGAAGCAAGAGAUCACAGUGAUGCUUCUAUGAGCCAAGAAAAUCUAAGAACUGCCAGCCAUCACCAGAAGCUAAAAGAGAAGCCUGAAACAAAUUCUGCCUCAGAGCCUCCAGGAGGAAUCAUCCCGGGAGACAUCUUGAUAUCAGAUUUCCAGCCUCCAAAACUGUGAGGCAACAAAUAAUCUGUCAUUUUAAGCCACCAGUUUGUAGUCACUUGUUCCAGCAGCCCUAGGAAGCUAACACACAGUCAGCCUCCAUUUUUUGAUGUUUGACCACACACAGGUUUGAACCCUCACGUCUCCGUUUUCCUCCUACUCUGUACCUGGGAAAGUUGAUAACCAUGUUGAGGUGCUCCCUCCUUUGGUGUCAGUGGGAAUUUCAAACUACCUAUGGGAACACUCACUCCUUCCCCAUCACUGACCUCAGUAAAAACCCCAGGCCCAACAACUUUGUCUGUUCUCUCAAACCAUUUUUGAACCCACUAAGGAGCCACCCUGUUCUCGCAAGAAAGCCUUGUUAUAUGAGCAAUAAACCUUUCUAUAUUGUC